rnacentral:rRNA from 1 species
AUUGAACGCUGGCGGAAUGCUUUACACAUGCAAGUCGAACGGCAGCACGGACUUCGGUCUGGUGGCGAGUGGCGAACGGGUGAGUAAUACAUCGGAACGUGCCCAGUCGUGGGGGAUAACGUAGCGAGAGCUACGCUAAUACCGCAUACGAUCUAAGGAUGAAAGCGGGGGAUCGCAAGACCUCGCGCGAUUGGAGCGGCCGAUGGCAGAUUAGGUAGUUGGUAGGGUAAAGGCCUACCAAGCCGACGAUCUGUAGCUGGUCUGAGAGGAUGAUCAGCCACACUGGGACUGAGACACGGCCCAGACUCCUACGGGAGGCAGCAGUGGGGAAUUUUGGACAAUGGGCGCAAGCCUGAUCCAGCCAUUCCGCGCGCAGGAUGAAGGCCUUCGGGUUGUAAACUGCUUUUGUACAGAACGAAAAGGCUCUGGUUAAUACCCGGGGCUCAUGACGGUACUGUAAGAAUAAGCACCGGCUAACUACGUGCCAGCAGCCGCCGUAA